rnacentral:rRNA from 1 species
UACGAAGGGGGCUAGCGUUGUUCGGAUUUACUGGGCGUAAAGCGCACGUAGGCGGAUCGUUAAGUCGGGGGUGAAAUCCUGGAGCUCAACUCCAGAACUGCCUUCGAUACUGGCGAUCUUGAGUCCGGGAGAGGUGAGUGGAACUGCGAGUGUAGAGGUGAAAUUCGUAGAUAUUCGGAGGAACACCAGUGGCGAAGGCGGCUCACUGGCUCGGUACUGACGCUGAGGUGCGAAAGCGUGGGGAGCAAACAGG